UGGAGGAAAGCACAUGGGGUCAGAGCUGGUUCAGAGGAUUGCAAUUAAUGACAUAGCUGAGAGCAUGAUGGCUUUUAAUACCAACUAUAGAGACACUGGACUCUUUGGUGUUUAUGCAGUUGCCAAGUCGGAUUGCUUGGAUGAUUUGGCAUAUGCAAUCAUGUAUGAGAUAAGUAAGCUGUCCUACCGGGUUUCAGAAGCUGAUGUCACUCGUGCUCGAAAUCAGCUAAAAUCUUCUCUUCAACUCCACAUUGAUGGUACUAGCCCUGUAGCUGAAGAUAUUGGCCGUCAGCUCCUUACAUACGGCAGAAGAAUCCCAGUUGCUGAGCUUUUUGCUAGGAUAGAUGCAGUUGAUGCAAGUACUGUCAAGCGUGUUGCGAACCGAUUCAUCUUUGACCAGGAUAUUGCAAUUGCUGCUAUGGGCCCAAUCCAGAAGCUACCAGACUACAACUGGUUUAGACGCCGCACUUAUUUACUCCGUUAUUAGGAAUUUUGAGUGUUUUUUUGAUUCUGCUUCUGAAACUUGUACUCUUAUUAAGUUGAGACUCAAAUUUUCCAACAUAUGUUGCAGCCAUGUACCAUGGGAUCAUAUGAACAGAUGCAGCAGACUUGGCCAUUUUCCUUGUCCUGUAACAUCUUCAUGUCUG
rnacentral:misc_RNA from 1 species